rnacentral:rRNA from 1 species
AAGUUACUUCGGUACAUCGGUGACAGGUGGUGCAUGGUUGUCGUCAGCUCGUGUCGUGAGAUGUUGGUUAAGUCCCGCAACGAGCGCAACCCCUAUCGUUAGUUGCCAUCAUUCAGUUGGGCACUCUAGCGAGACUGCCGGUAAUAAACCGGAGGAAGGUGGGAUGACGUCAAAUCAUCAUGCCCCUUAUGACCUGGGCUACACACGUGCUACAAUGGUUGGUACAACGAGUUGCGAGUCGGUGACGGCGAGCUAAUCUCUUAAAGCCAAUCUCAGUUCGGAUUGUAGGCUGCAACUCGCCUACAUGAAGUCGGAAUCGCUAGUAAUCGCGUUUCAACAGAACGCGGUGAAUACGUCCCUGCUCCUU